rnacentral:lncRNA from 1 species
AAAAAAAGGCAUAUGAUGAGGUUUGGACAUUGAGAGGUAUAGGCUGGCUGUAGGAGUCGGGUAAGUGCCAAGGAAAAGGGCCUCAGGGUAGCUUUUGAAUGGGAUUUGGCGACAGGGAAGGAGAGAAAGCUUUGGGGUGGUGAGAACAAGGGAAGGGAAAGGGAAAACAAAAGCGUGGAGGUGGGAAAGGAAACCUGGGGAGAAAGGUUUAUGCUGUGAUGCACAGUGACACGUACCUCUCUCUGUUCAGCAAGGUUCAUUCCGGCUAUUCAUUUAACAGCUGGAAAGUUCUAUAUCUGUGGCAAAGAUGAUCUGCGGUGGAGGGUUUAUUCCUGGCCCCUGGCCUUCCUGGCCUUGGUCUUUUGAGUGCUUGCCGGAUCCCUAGUUCCUUUCCGGUUCCAGUAGUGAGAGGAAUAAACACUUAAAACUCCAGUCCAAUACACUCUCAAUGUCAAUACCCUCCCUAUCUUUAAAAGAAGAAAAAAAAAUACUAAAUCAUCUUUGUUUAAAGAAUCCUGGCCCCUGUGAUUUGUUAAUUUGUUCGUGG